GAUGAACGCUAGCGGCAGGCCUAAUACAUGCAAGUCGAGGGGCAGCGGGUGUAGCAAUACAUGCCGGCGACCGGCGCACGGGUGCGUAACGCGUAUGCAACUUACCUCUAACAGGGGAAUAGCGCCGAGAAAUCGGGAUUAAUACCUCAUAAUAUUUAUCAUUCGCAUGUUUGAUAAAUUAAAGCUACGGCGGUUAGAUAUGGGCAUGCGUGACAUUAGCUAGUGGGUGAGGUAACGGCUCACCAAGGCGGCGAUAUCUAGGGGUUCUGAGAGGACAUUCCCCCACACUGGUACUGAGACACGGACCAGACUCCUACGGGAGGCAGCAGUAAGGAAUAUUGGGCAAUGGACGCAAGUCUGACCCAGCCAUGCCGCGUGCAGGAUGAAGGCCCUAUGGGUUGUAAACUGCUUUUGUACGGGAAGAAACUUCCGCACGUGUGCGGAAUUGACGGUACCGUGCGAAUAAGCACCGGCUAACUCCGUGCCAGCAGCCGCCGUAAAAC
rnacentral:rRNA from 1 species